GUGCUUGCUUCGGCAGCAUAUAUACUAAAAUCAGGACUAUACAGAGACUAUUAGCAUGGCCCCUGCACAAGGAUAACACCCAAAUUUCAUGAAGUGUUGCAUAUUUUU